UAGCAAGUAACCUUCCACCGAAUGGUUCACCCUAAAAUCUGCUCAUGUUUUCCACAGAAACCCUAAUCCUCUUUCUGCUAUCACCGCCACCUUCUUUUUCUCUUUUUCAUUUUUUCUUUUUUCCCUUUGAUUUAUAGAGAGUUCUUGUUUUCCUGGCGCAAUUGUAUAAAGGUGUAUGCAUACGGAGAAUAAUUUCACUCCAUUCAUUCUUGUGACUGCACAUGUUUUCUUACUGUAACCCUGAUCCUCCUCAAAGCACCUUGAAAUGGUUAGAGCUGUUUCAUAUCGGAAGAGGUUAUCGGAAAGCUGUAUUCUGACUUGGAACUGUGAAGGAAUGGUUCACUUCACACCUUAUAUUGAGUAUGUUAUUGCAACUUCUUUUCACUGGAAUGAAGUUUUAUCACGGAUCCUAUAUGUUCAAGCAACUUUUCAGAGGAAGAAGUUAUGUAUCCUAUAUCGUAAUGCCAAGGAAUUUAUCGCAUCGGUUGCAAAAUGGUGGCUGUGAAGAAAGCUUCAGAAGCAUCAAAGUUCAUGUGAAGCUAAUAUGAAAAUGGAGCUUGAAGUACUUCCCUUGGGAGAACUCGGGAAGGAAAAUUGUUCAGAUAAAAAUGAUGUAACUGAAGUUUGCAACAAAGAUCAUGGAGGUGAUAAUGUUGGUGCCAUGUUCCAAAGAGAAAUAGAAUGGUUCCAAAUAUUUGGCAUCGAGUUACCACCCAAAAACAUGGGAACCAUCCAGAAAAAGUUGUCAAAAUCCAAAGAAGUGACACCAAAGAGAAUUCCUCUCAAGCUUGUGGCGAACAAGGAGAUGUUCUGAGGUGUGAAACAUGCACCUGUUCUUUCCAUCCUAGGUGCAUACUCUCACCACUUAAAACCCUCAUUCCAGAUAAUUGGAGGUGCCCUCAAUGUUUUGCAACAAAGAUGAUGGUGGCGAUAAUGUUGGUGCCAUGUUCUAAGGAGGAAUGGAAAGGUUGAUGUUGGUAUGAACUUAGAGAGCAAAACAAUUGAAGAGGAAAUUAUUUUACCACCUGGCAUGGAGUUAAAAGAAAUAUUUGUAACGAAGCAUUGAAAACUGACGGAAGAGGAGAUAUAUUCAACAAGAUGAAAAUUCAAGAUAUGCAAAAGGAGUGAAAGAAGCACAACUUAAUAUUAUUGCAGCUAAGGGAAAACAAUGUGUUAUGGUUUUUCAAGGAAGACUUUUGAGUGAAUCAUGUUAAUUGUUGUUCAGAGCAUAAAUGUUAGCCAAAGCACUCAUUGCAUAUGGGUCCUCUUUUAGUGAUGGAGUAUUGAUAUUGUA